rnacentral:lncRNA from 1 species
AGACAGCUUACACCAUUAUUUCUGCAUAUCAAGAGACUUUUAUACUUUCACUAAUUUGCUACUGCUAUCUGGAAGGCAGAGCCAGGUGUACAGGAUGGAACAUGAAGGUGGACUAGGAGCGUGACCACUGAAGCACAGCAUCACAGGGAGAUGGUAAGGCCUCCGGAUAACUAAUGAUUAAUGAUAUUCAUAUAUAAUCAUGUCUAUGAUCUAUAUCUAGUAUAACUCCUGUUGUUUUAUAUAUUUUAUUAUACUGGAACAGCUCGUGCCCUCGGUCUCUUGCCUCGGCACCUGGAUGGCUUGCCGCCCACAACCAGGGGCUUUUCUUCCCCUCAGGUCCACAUCUGCUUUGACAGCAAAUCUGGCCAGCUGCACCUUCAGAACACGCCCACAGCCCAGCACCCCUCAUGUCUGCUGCUGCCUCGGGUCUUCCUCGUCCCGUCCGUGCGAUUGUCUCCUCACUGGGCUCCCACAGCUGCCUGGCCGCUCCUCACAUGCAAUUUGGCAUCUGCUCCCGUGCCACGCUGUCCUUCAUAUCCUCUUGUUAUAUAUGCCCCGUCCACACCACGUCCCUAAUGUUCUAGAACAUUGGGGCCCGGGGAAUGCCCUCCACUUGAGUGUCCUCCCUGCAGAUAUCCGACGGCAUCACCCUAGGGGACCCUUCCUGGCCCCCCGUGCUCUGAACUCUCCUCCCAGAGCUGCUUUCUGUGCAGCACUCAGCACCCACUUCAGGAGACUGUGCCUUCAGGGGAGGGGUCAACAAAGAGGGUCGAAUGGCAGGAAUGGGCCUAAUUAAGGGGUCCUGGAGCACUGAAGGUGAAGGGGUGGGAGGGCUGGACCCUGGUGAGAACUGGAGCUACAGGAGAGGCCACCCCGGCUGAGCUGAGGUCUCUGAAGGGUAAGAACCCCAUCAGAGCAGAGGGAGCCCCGGAGCCAACACCCUGACCUCUCUCUCCUCCGUCCCCCGGCCUCCAGGCACCCUGACUUCUCUCUCCUCCGCCCUCCAGCCUCUUGCUGAGCUCAGCUGGAAGUCAGGGGACGUCCAGGUCAGCCUCCAGGCAGAGAGGAGGGCCAGGAGGCGUGAGAGGUGGGUCUGGGGCCAGUGGAAGGUGAGAACCUGGCCCAGGUCUAAUGUGUCAUUUAGUCCCCAAGUGUCUCCUCCACGGGGUCAGCUCCACAAGGGACUUCUGUGUUGUUCCCGUUGGACCCCUUAACCUAGAAGAAUGCCUGACUCAUGGUAGGUAAAGAUUUCCGGAAAAAAUGGCUUGAAUUGUGGUCUUUCAUGUAACAACAGACUGGACAUGGAGCAGUUCCAGGGUGGGGCUGUGUGUUGGUCUCAUCCUUACUGGGUGAGCCCCUUCGUCCGAGAAAACGGCCCCUGCUCCAGUUGUUAGAAAACCGCCUUUACAGGCCAGGUGUGGUGGCUCACACCUGUAAUCCCAGCACUUCAGGAGGCCAAGGCAGACAGGUCAUGAGGUCAGGAAAUGGAGACCAUCCUGGCUAACAAGGUGAAACCCCGUAACUACUAAAAAUACAAAAAAAUUAGCUGGGCGUGGUGGCGGGCGCCUUUAGUCCCAACUACUCGGGAGGCUGAGGCAGAAGAAUCACUUGAACCCAGGAGGUGGAGGUUGCAGUGAGCUGAGAUCCCGCCACUGCACUACAGCCCGGGUGACAGAGUAAGACUCUGUCUCAAAAAAAAAAAAAAUGUGAUUGCUAUGUAAAAUGAUUGUGUGCCACAGAGAUGACCAGGUUUCUUGUGGAUUUCAUCUUAACUGUGGCUGUCCUAAGACUUUUGUCAUCCACAGAUAACUGUUGUCUUGUUUCACCAUUUUUUUUUUUGUUUUGAGACGAAGUUUCGCUCUGUUGCCCAGGCUGGAGUGCAGUGGCGCGAUCUCGGCUCACUGCAAUCUCCGUUCCCUGGGUUCAAGCGAUUCUCCUGCCUCAGCCUCCUGAGUAGCUGGGGUUACAGGCAUGCGCCACCACACCCAGCUAAUUUUUUUGUAUUUUUAGUAGAGACGGGAGUUCACCAUGUUGGUCAGGCUGGUCUCAAACUCCUGACCUCGUGAUCUGCCUGCCUCGGCCUCCCAAAGUGCUGGGAUUGCAGGUGUGAGCCACUGUGCCUGGCCACAUUACUGAUUCUUUUUGUUUUGUUUUUCAGAGUCAAGAAAACCUUUUUUCUUUUGAGCUAUUUACAGCUUUUAGCAGUUGAGUAAAGUACACCCCUGUGACCAAAACUUGGUGCAUUUUUCUUUCUCUACCUGAGUUCUCCAGAUUUUGGAAACUGUCUGUGAGUAUUCUUUUUUAUUUAUUUAUUUAUUUUUAAAAUUUCAGUAGGUUUUAGCUGGUGUUUGGUUACAUGAAUGAGUUCUUUAGUGGUGUUUUCUGAGAUUUUGGUCCAUCCAUUACCUGAGCAGUAUACACUGUAUCCAAUAUGUAGCCUUUAUCCCUAACCCUCUCCCACCCUUUCCCCUGAGUUCCCAAACUCCUUCAUAUCAUUAUUAUUAUUGUUAUUAUUAUUAUUGAAACAGUGUCUCCCUCUGUCACCCAGGCUGGAGUGCAGUGGCACGAUCUCACCUCAUUGCAACCUCCACCUCCUGAGUUCAAGCAGUUCUCCUGCCUCAGUCUCCUGGGUAGCUGGGAUUACAGGCACACACCACCACACCUGGCUAAUUUUUGUGUUUCUUAGUAGAGAUGGAGUUUCACCUUGUUGGCCAGGCUGGUCUUGAAUUCCUGAUCUCAAGUGAUCUGCCCGCUGGCUUCCAAAAUGCUGGAAUUACAGGUGUGAGCCACCAUACCUGGCCUAUUGGAUCAUUCUUAAGCCUUUGCAUCCUCAUAGCUUAGCUCCCAUUUAUGAUUGAGAAUAUAGGAUGUUUGCUUUACCAUUAACGUAUUCUUUUCUUCUCUUUUUUUUUUUUUUUUUUUUUUUGAGAUGGAGUUUUGCUCUUGUUGCCCAGGCUGGAGUGCAAUGGCGUGGUCCUGGUCCACUGCAACCUCCACCUCCCGUGUUCAAGCGAUUCUCCUGCCUCAGCCUCCUAAGUAGCUGGAAUUACAGGCACCUGCCACCACACCCGGCUAGUUUUUGUAUUUGUAUUUUUAUUUAAUUUAAUUUAUUUAUUUAUUUUGAGACGAGUCUCGCUCUGUCUCCCAGGCUGGAGUGCAGUGGUGCGAUCUCGGCUCACUGCAAGCUCCGCCUCCCGGGUUCACGCCAUUCUCCUGCCUCAGCCUCCUGAGUAGCUGGGACUACAGGCGCCCACCACCGUGCCCGGCUAAUUUUCUGUAUUUUUAGUAGAGACGGGGUUUCACCGUGUUAGCCAGGAUGGUCUCAAUCUCCUGACCUUGUGAUCCGCCCGCCUCGGCCUCCCAAAGUGCUGGGAUUACAGGCCUGAGCCACCCCGCCGGGCCCACACUAAUACUUUCAAAUUUGUCUUUUGUUUUUCUGACCUGGACUCAAUGAAAUUGCUACUAACUUUUUCCCGAGGCCCAGAAAGUUGAGGUUAUUCUUUGUAACACAGGUGAGAACAUUGUGUCAGACUGCCAGGGGCUUCCUGCUCUGUAACUAAAGAUGCUUUGAGUCUAACAUCUGGAUAGAUCGUGUCCAACAAUAAACUUCGUUUUUCUUCUGUUUUCAUAGAAAUACCUCUUAUUAAAAAUCUGUUCACCUUCCUCAUAUACAUAAGUUUAGCCCAUCUGCAACCUCCUGUUAUGGGAAAUAGCUGUUUAACGGAACUGAUCUUGUCUCAGGACCAGGAAAUCACUACAAAGAUAUGUGACAGUGUAUCUAAAUUUGUUCUUUCCUGUCUAUCCCAAUGUGUCUUUUUUUUUUUUUUUUUUGAGACAGAGUCUUGCUGUUGUCUCCCAGGCUGAAGUGCAGCGAUCUCAGCUCACUGCAACCUCCGCCUCCCGUGUUGAAGCGAUUCUCCUGCCUCAGCCUCCUGAGUAGCUGGGAUUACAGGCAUGCUCCACCACACCCAGAUAAUUUUUGUAUUUUUAGUAGAGAUGAGGUUUCACCAUGUUGGUCAGGGUGGUCUCGAACUCCUGCCCUCGUGAUCCGCCCACUUCGGCCCCCCAAAGUGUGGGAUUACAGGUGUGAGCCACUGCGCCCGGCCCAGAGGGAUCUUUUGAAAACAAAAUUAUACCACUUCUCUGCUCACAAUCCUUCAAUGGAGAGACCGACCACACCAAGUGCUGGUGUGGACACUGAGGUACCGCCGGAGCACUCACACCUCCCAGCAGGAACAUGGAAAGGCACAACCGCCAUGGGAGAAAGCUUCAUGCGUCCUAGGGAGUAAAAACACUGCACGUAACCCAGCCGUUCGGUUGCUAAAUAUUGUCCCGGAGAAUGAAAGCAUUAUCUCCACACAGUGAUGCACACGCAAAUGUUUAUAGUAGCUUUAUUCAUAAUAGCAAACACUGGAAACAGCCCAGACGUUCAUCAACAGGUGGAUGGAUAGACAGUGUGGUCAUCCAUGCAUACUCAGGAAUAAGAGGGGUAACCCACAGACAUGUGCUGCCACAUAGAUAUGUCUCAGAAUAAGUAUUUUUAGUGAAAAAAGCUAUAGAUGAAAAAGGCCUACAUACGAUGUGAUUCCACCUGUAUACAAUUAGAGAAAUGCACCUUAUUGACAGAAAGCAGCUCGGUGGUGUCUGGGGACAGAGCUGGGUUGCAGCAGGUUGCAAAGGGCACAGGAAAUAUUUGAGGAUAAUGGAUAGCUUUUUAUUCUUUUUUACGAAUUGUGAUUUAUUUAUUCUUUUUCACUUUUGUGGAUACAUUUAUGGAGUACAUGAGAUAUUUUGAUACAGGCAUGCAGUGUGUAAUAAUCACAUCUGGUUAAAUGAGGUAUCCAUCACCUCAAACAUUUAGCCUUUCUUUGUAUUACGGUCCAGUUAUACUUCUUUAGUUAUUUAAAAAUAUAUAAUAAACUAUUGUAGACUAUAGUCACUCUGUUGUACUACCAACUAUUAGAUUUUAUUCAUUCUAUCUAACUAUAUUUUUGCAUUCAUUAACCAUCCCCACAUCUCCCUCCACCUUUCCCAGCCUCGGGAAACUAUCCAUGAGUUUAACUCUAUGCCCAUGAGUUUAAUUGUUUUAAUUUUCUUUUUUUUUUUUUUUUUGUUUUAGAUGGAGUCUUACUCUGUCGCCCAGGCUGGAGUGCAGUGGCAUGAUCUCGGCUCACUGCAACCUCUGUCUCCCAGGUUCAAGCAAUUCUCCUGCCUCAGCCCCCUGAGUACCUGGCUAAUUUUUGUAUUUUUAGUAGAGACAGGGUUUCACUAUGUUGGCCAAGCUGGUCUUGAACUCCUGACCUCGUGAUCCCCCCGCCUUGGCCUCCCAAAAUACUGGAAUUACAGGCGUGAGCCACCACGCCCAGCCAAUUUUUUUUUUUUUUUUUUUGAGAAGGACUCUUGCUAUUUCUCCCAGGUUAGGUGGAGAGCAGUGGCGCCAUCUCGGCUCACUGCAACCUCCGCCUCCCGGGUUCACGCCAUUCUCCUGCCUCAGCCUCCCGUGUAGCUGGGACUACAGGUGCCCGCCACCAUGCCCAGCUAAUUUUUUGUAUUUUUAGUAGAGAUGGGGUUUCACCGUGUUAACCAGGAUAGUCUCGAUCCACCAGCCUCGGCCUCCCAAAGUGCUGGGAUUACAGGCGUGAGCCACUGCGCCCGGCCCCGGCCAAUUGUUUUAAUUUUCUUUUAGCCUCCACAAAUAAAU